AGUGAACGCUGGCGGUAGGCCUAACACAUGCAAGUCGAACGGCAGCACAGUAAGAGCUUGCUCUUACGGGUGGCGAGUGGCGGACGGGUGAGGAAUACAUCGGAAUCUACUUUUUCGUGGGGGAUAACGUAGGGAAACUUACGCUAAUACCGCAUACGACCUACGGGUGAAAGCAGGGGAUCUUCGGACCUUGCGCGAUUGAAUGAGCCGAUGUCGGAUUAGCUAGUUGGCGGGGUAAAGGCCCACCAAGGCGACGAUCCGUAGCUGGUCUGAGAGGAUGAGCAGCCACACUGGAACUGAGGCACGGUCCAGACUCCUACGGGAGGCAGCAGUGGGGAAUAUUGGACAAUGGGCGCAAGACUGAUCCAGACAUACCGCGUGGGUGAAGAAGGCCUUCGGGUUGUAAAGCACUUCUGUUGGGAAAGAAAAGCAGCAGGUUAAUACCCCGCUGUUCUGACGGUACCCAAAGAAUAAGCACCGGCUAACUUCGUG
rnacentral:rRNA from 1 species